UACGUAGGGUGCGAGCGUUAAUCGGAAUUACUGGGCGUAAAGGGUGCGCAGGCGGCCGAGCAAGUCGAGUGUGAAAGCCCCGAGCUUAACUUGGGAACUGCGCUCGAAACUACUUGGCUAGAGUGUGGCAGAGGGAGGUGGAAUUCCGCGUGUAGCGGUGAAAUGCGUAGAGAUGUGGAGGAACACCGAUGGCGAAGGCAGCCUCCUGGGCCAGCACUGACGCUCAUGCACGAAAGCGUGGGGAGCAAACAGG
rnacentral:rRNA from 1 species